GGGGAAUAUUGCACAAUGGGGGAAACCCUGAUGCAGCAACGCCGCGUGAAGGAAGACGGUCUUCGGAUUGUAAACUUUUGUUCUUGGUGAAGAAAAAUGACGGUAGCCAAGGAGGAAGCCACGGCUAACUAUGUGCCAGCAGCCGCGGUAAUACGUAGGUGGCAAGCGUUGUCCGGAAUUACUGGGUGUAAAGGGAGCGCAGGCGGGAAAUCAAGUUGGAUGUGAAAUGUCGGGGCUUAACCCCGGAACUGCAUCCAAAACUGAUAUUCUUGAGUGAAGUAGAGGUAGGCGGAAUUCCGAGUGUAGCGGUGAAAUGCGUAGAUAUUCGGAGGAACACCAGUGGCGAAGGCGGCCUACUGGGCUUUAACUGACGCUGAGGCUCGAAAGUGUGGGGAGCAAACAGGAUUAGAUACCCUGGUAGUCCACACUGUAAACGAUGAUUGCUAGGUGUGGGGGGUCUGACCCCCUCCGUGCCGGAGUUAACGCAAUAAGCAAUCCACCUGGGGAGUACGGCCGCAAGGUUGAAACUCAAAGGAAUUGACGGGGGCCCGCACAAGCAGUGGAGUAUGUGGUUUAAUUCGAAGCAACGCGAAGAACCUUACCAGGUCUUGACAUCCUGAGAAUCCUUAAGAGAUUAGGGAGUGCCUUCGGGAACUCAGAGACAGGUGGUGCAUGGUUGUCGUCAGCUCGUGUCGUGAGAUGUUGGGUUAAGUCCCGCAACGAGCGCAACCCUUGCUAUUAGUUGCUACGCAAGAGCACUCUAAUAGGACUGCCGUUGACAAAACGGAGGAAGGUGGGGACGACGUCAAAUCAUCAUGCCCCUUAUGACCUGGGCUACACACGUACUACAAUGGCCAUUAACAGAGGGAAGCAAAACCGCGAGGCAGAGCAAACCCCUAAAAAUGGUCCCAGUUCGGAUUGUAGGCUGCAACCCGCCUACAUGAAGUUGGAAUUGCUAGUAAUCGCGGAUCAGCAUGCCGCGGUGAAUACGUUCCCG
rnacentral:rRNA from 1 species